rnacentral:lncRNA from 1 species
CUUUAAAGCUAAAAGUUGAAACAUAAUUUUUUUUAUUUUUAAGUUGAGAACAUUUAUGCAUGCGAUUUCUUUACAUUUUUAUGGUUAUUUUGUUUUUGUAUAGCUAUUUUAGAAUUUUUUAAUAUAAAACAUAUAAUUAAAAUAGGCUUAUUAAGAGUGUUUUAUUUUUAUUAGAUAUGCGCCUCACCUUCUUGAGGCGCGCGCCUCGCGGUGCGCCUCGCGCCUAGACUCCAUAAAGCCUUUGCGUCUUUUUGCGCCUUGCGCCUUUUCUAACACUGCAUUCAACUAUGGAUACACCACACAAAUUGUCCCUAAAGCAAGUGGCAAAGGACUUGGUGAAGGUCCCAAGUUCGAAUCCUAAUUGAUUCACAUUUCUAGCUAAGUUUAUUUCGAAAUAAAAUAAAUGAAGCGGGUAGCGUGCUACCUAUUUCUCAAAAAAAAAACUAUGGAUACAACACUCCCAAC